ACAUUUUGGCAGACCAUGUACUAAAAUUGGUACAAUGUGGAGAAGAUUAGCAUGGUCUUAAACAAGGAUAACACACAAAUUCAUGAUGUUUUUCAUACUUACU
rnacentral:snRNA from 1 species